rnacentral:lncRNA from 14 species
UCAAGAUUGGUGUCAAGAAAUGCAAAGUCCAUGGAAUGGGGAAUAUUAGGUAUCUGCCAAGUGAGCACAGCUAUGUGUAUUGGUAACUUCACCACAACACAGGAUGCGUCUGAUGAACCGGAAAGCUGAGAGAUCAUUAUUAUAAAACAGCGACAUUACUCUCUGGAAAGUACAUCAGGUACAAGAAUUAAAGGAGAGAAAACUCUUUUCUACUACUUCAGCCACCCAAAGAUCUCCAGCAGCAGCACUGGAAGACCAGCAGAAAGGAGAGACAAGAGGAUUUACAGGCAGCAUGAGACGAAAUUGGAAGAGGUGCCAGCAUCAAAACUUCUCUAUGCUUCUGGUGGCACUUGCACAGGACGAGACAUUCAAAAAGACUUCAUAAUACCCUGCUAAAAUAAAAACUGAAUUAAUCUAGUGUGCUUUAAAAAU